CCUACGGGUGGCAGCAGUGAGGAAUAUUGGUCAAUGGGCGCAAGCCUGAACCAGCCAAGCCGCGUGAGGGAAGACGGUCCUAUGGAUUGUAAACUUCUUUUGUAGGGGAGUAAAAGACGCCACGUGUGGCGUUUUGAGAGUACCCGACGAAUAAGGAUCGGCUAACUCCGUGCCAGCAGCCGCGGUAAUACGGAGGAUGCGAGCGUUAUCCGGAUUUAUUGGGUUUAAAGGGUGCGUAGGAGGGAUGAUAAGUCAGCGGUGAAAUGUGGGGGCUCAACCCCGAUAAUGCCUUUGAAACUGGUUGACUAGAGUGUGCGAGAGGUAGGCGGAAUGCGUGGUGUAGCGGUGAAAUGCAUAGAUAUCACGCAGAACACCGAUUGCGAAGGCAGCUUACCGGCGCACAACUGACGCUGAGGCACGAAAGUGUGGGUAGCAAACAGGAUUAGAUACCCUAGUAGUC
rnacentral:rRNA from 1 species